rnacentral:rRNA from 1 species
ACGCUCGACACCUACGGGAGGUAGCAGUUAGGAAUAUUGGGCAAUGGAGGAAACUCUGACCCAGCAACGCCGCGUGAAGGAAGAAGGUUUUCGGAUUGUAAACUUCUGAUCUAGGGGAAGAAGGAAGUGACGGUACCCUAGGAGAAAGCCACGGCUAACUACGUGCUAGCAGCCGCGGUAAUCUGAGCGGGCUGGCAAGGC